GGUUACGUAGCUCAGUUGGUUAGAGCACAUCACUCAUAAUGAUACCGGCAUUCCCUGGUUCGAAUCCAGGUACCCACCA
rnacentral:tRNA from 1 species